rnacentral:rRNA from 1 species
CAUGGUUAAGUGGGAAACGAUGUGGGAAGGCCCAGACAGCCAGGAUGUUGGCUUAGAAGCAGCCAUCAUUUAAAGAAAGCGUAAUAGCUCACUGGUCGAGUCGGCCUGCGCGGAAGAUGUAACGGGGCUAAACCAUGCACCGAAGCUGCGGCAGCGACGCUUAUGCGUUGUUGGGUAGGGGAGCGUUCUGUAAGCCUGUGAAGGUGUGCUGUGAGGUAUGCUGGAGGUAUCAGAAGUGCGAAUGCUGACAUAAGUAACGAUAAAGCGGGUGAAAAGCCCGCUCGCCGGAAGACCAAGGGUUCCUGUCCAACGUUAAUCGGGGCAGGGUGAGUCGACCCCUAAGGCGAGGCCGAAAGGCGUAGUCGAUGGGAAACAGGUUAAUAUUCCUGUACUUGGUGUUACUGCGAAGGGGGGACGGAGAAGGCUAUGUUGGCCGGGCGACGGUUGUCCCGGUUUAAGCGUGUAGGCUGGUUUUCCAGGCAAAUCCGGAAAAUCAAGGCCGAGGCGUGAUGACGAGGCACUACGGUGCUGAAGCAACAAAUGCCCUGCUUCCAGGAAAAGCCUCUAAGCAUCAGGUAACAUCAAAUCGUACCCCAAACCGACACAGGUGGUCAGGUAGAGAAUACCAAGGCGCUUGAGAGAACUCGGGUGAAGGAACUAGGCAAAAUGGUGCCGUAACUUCGGGAGAAGGCACGCUGAUACGUAGGUGAAGCGACUUGCUCGUGGAGCUGAAAUCAGUCGAAGAUACCAGCUGGCUGCAACUGUUUAUUAAAAACACAGCACUGUGCAAACACGAAAGUGGACGUAUACGGUGUGACGCCUGCCCGGUGCCGGAAGGUUAAUUGAUGGGGUUAGCGCAAGCGAAGCUCUUGAUCGAAGCCCCGGUAAACGGCGGCCGUAACUAUAACGGUCCUAAGGUAGCGAAAUUCCUUGUCGGGUAAGUUCCGACCUGCACGAAUGGCGUAAUGAUGGCCAGGCUGUCUCCACCCGAGACUCAGUGAAAUUGAACUCGCUGUGAAGAUGCAGUGUACCCGCGGCAAGACGGAAAGACCCCGUGAACCUUUACUAUAGCUUGACACUGAACAUUGAGCCUUGAUGUGUAGGAUAGGUGGGAGGCUUUGAAGUGUGGACGCCAGUCUGCAUGGAGCCGACCUUGAAAUACCACCCUUUAAUGUUUGAUGUUCUAACGUGGACCCGUGAUCCGGGUUGCGGACAGUGUCUGGUGGGUAGUUUGACUGGGGCGGUCUCCUCCUAAAGAGUAACGGAGGAGCACGAAGGUUGGCUAAUCCUGGUCGGACAUCAGGAGGUUAGUGCAAUGGCAUAAGCCAGCUUGACUGCGAGCGUGACGGCGCGAGCAGGUGCGAAAGCAGGUCAUAGUGAUCCGGUGGUUCUGAAUGGAAGGGCCAUCGCUCAACGGAUAAAAGGUACUCCGGGGAUAACAGGCUGAUACCGCCCAAGAGUUCAUAUCGACGGCGGUGUUUGGCACCUCGAUGUCGGCUCAUCACAUCCUGGGGCUGAAGUAGGUCCCAAGGGUAUGGCUGUUCGCCAUUUAAAGUGGUACGCGAGCUGGGUUUAGAACGUCGUGAGACAGUUCGGUCCCUAUCUGCCGUGGGCGCUGGAGAACUGAGGGGGGCUGCUCCUAGUACGAGAGGACCGGAGUGGACGCAUCACUGGUGUUCGGGUUGUCAUGCCAAUGGCACUGCCCGGUAGCUAAAUGCGGAAGAGAUAAGUGCUGAAAGCAUCUAAGCACGAAACUUGCCCCGAGAUGAGUUCUCCCUGACCCUUUAAGGGUCCUGAAGGAACGUUGAAGACGACGACGUUGAUAGGCCGGGUGUGUAAGCGCAGCGAUGCGUUGAGCUAACCGGUACUAAUGAACCGUGAGGCU